CGGAGUGCGUUGUAGGGAACAGCCAUGUUUUAACCAUUUCACAUGAACAGGUUUUUGUUGUACUCUUAAACUCUAAACUGUCAGCCAUCCCCCCGCCCCCAAUAUUUUAGCCGCAUUGUUAAAUAUGCCCCAGGGUUCACAGGGCCUCAAAAAAGUAAUGGCUUGCCGGUAAAUGUAUACCCCACCAAGUAAAGAAACCUAGGCCAAAAUUUAAACUAAAAUUUAACUUUUUAGAUCUAAAUUUUGAUAUAGGUCUUGUAUUUGAGGUACAAGUGUACCUUUGUUGAGUAUUGUCAGUUAAGGGGUGGGAUGUGCUUGUUUGUAAGAUUCAUCUGCUGUGGCCUCUUACGAGUGGACAUGUCAGCCAUUACCAUUCAGGUAAAUUGUUCAGACUAAGACUUUCUCGAGGUCUUGCAUCCACCUACAGAACCAAGGAAGCAAACAUAUACAUCAAGAUUUGUUCUCCAAAAUGUGACGAAUGUGAUGGAAUCUUGUUUACCCAAAGAAACUCCAUACAAAACCUGGGAGAACAUCGCCAUGGGAGAGUUCCAGCUGAGUGGGGGUACACCUUAGACUGGUUGCCAGUCAAUCACAGUACAGUAUAGUCCAUUGGAGCCGUGAUUCUCAACCAGGGUGCUGUGACAUACUAAUGUGAGCCCUGAGAGCUCAUUAAAGGUCCUGUGAGAAAUGAUCCAAUCUCACAUAAUUUGUCAGAAAAUUAUUUAUUCAUUACAAAGAUCAUUUUGUUUAUUGAUGGCAGAUGGUACAAUAAACCUGUGUACCCACCUGUUACUAUUCUUACAACGGAAAAAG